rnacentral:rRNA from 1 species
UAAGACGGAGGAGGCAAGCGUUAUCCGGAAUUAUUGGGCGUAAAGCGUCCGCAGGCGGCUUUUUAAGUCUGUUGUCAAAGCCCACAGCUCAACUGUGGAUCGGCAAUGGAAACUGGGAAGCUAGAGUGUGGUAGGGGUAGAGGGAAUUCCCGGUGUAGCGGUGAAAUGCGUAGAUAUCGGGAAGAACACCAGUGGCGAAGGCGCUCUACUGGGCCACAACUGACGCUGAGGGACGAAAGCUAGGGGAGCGAAAGGGAUUAGAUACCCCUGUAGUCCUAGCUGUAAACGAUGGAUACUAGGUGUUGGACGUAUCGACCCGUGCAGUACCGUAGCUAACGCGUUAAGUAUCCCGCCUGGGGAGUACGCACGCAAGUGUG